GAUUAACAUUUAAAUCUCUCAGUGAAUACAGAAUAAAGAUCUACCACAAAGCAAGAAAGCAGGAGAUAAGGCUAGUCAAAAAGCUAUUAGCAGAAGCAAAAGAGAACAAUAAAGCGUCUAUAAUGAAUUCUUGCUCAGGACAUCUUUUGUUUUGUACAGAAUAGCAACGGUUUUUAACUUUUUUGUUUUCACAUGGUUUAUAUGGGACUUCCAACAAAGCUUAUCAAUUAUCUCUCUAGAAAUGUUUUUUCGUACACGUUUUCGAUUUCAAUUCCAUUAACCCUGAUUUUAGAUACAUUUUUCAUUUGUCUGGUGCCAAAAAUAAUACAUAUUAUUUCAUUUAUAUUUAACAAUAACUUAUUUAUAUGAAACCAUUUUUUAGUAUAUUCUCCACUGUUCUUUUCCACUGUAGUCAGAAGCUGUUCCAGGUUAUUACCUGAGCAAUACAGAGUGGUAUCAUCAGCAAACCGAACACAUUUUAACAGUUUGGAAAUAUUACAUAUAUCAUUUAUAGUUCAUUAUGGACAAACUGUGGUUUGCACAGAGGUCCCUCAGUCACACCCCUCCAGCUCUCACUGUUGUUGCACACAUGAGUGUUUAAGUCUCCCAGUAAUAGCGUCACUAGAUGGAGCACCCUUAAGCACCCAGAGGAUAUGUUGAGCAAAGCUGGAGAAGCUUCAGCUUAAGAGAUCAUUGUUGGCAUUGCUGUGAUUCUUUAUGUGAUUCACUGACUUGGUGAGUAAAGUGUUACUCUUAUUCAAACUGGUUUUGUGCCUUCUCUCAGAUUAGCACCAGGUUUAUAAACUUGCUAGCUAGCUAGUGUUAGACUGGUGUUGCCUCUCGGCUCAUGGUGCUUAAAUUAACCCACAGCUUAAAAAACCUUAUAUAAAAUCUCUCAGUGAAAUUUUCUGUUGAUUGUUUGAAAUAGAAAAGUGAGCAGCUACUAGAUAAGAGCCGAGACGAAACUUUUUCUGAAGGUGCAGCCGUUAGGGGUGGGGCUUGUUUUAAUCCACUUUUAUAACAUGGACUGUACAUUCUUAACCUCUGUAUUUAUUUUAAUUUUUUAUGGUUUGUUACGGAUUCAAAUAUUGGGGAUGGAUACAAGAGGAAAAACCACAAUAACAACACUGGUCCGGCCGGGUUGAGUCAAACGAUGAUUUUAAUGAUCACACGCGUGGGAGAUGGAUACUGAUGCAGACAGCAUCAGAUCUCAAAAUGGUGGAGCAUUGAUCAAACUCUUAUAGCCUCUGGUGCCUCCACCUAAUCAUAAAAGCCUAAACAUUCACAUGCUUUCUCUCACACAGCGCCUAAGCUACAACCUUGGCUCCCUGUUUAUCUGCUCCUGCUGAGAUGGGGCAGAAAACUCCAGCAUGUUCUCUUCUAAUCAGACAAAUAAGACGAUGACUUUCUGCGAACAGUAUUUCUUAUAACUCAGCAGUAUAAUGCAUCAUAAACAAUAUCAUUCAUUCACAAUAAAUCGGCAGUCUAAUGUAAUGCAAAUCAGUCUAACUAAUGCAAUAGUUAUCACCUUCUUCUAAUUCAGGAGAAUAAUGCAAACUACAACUACAUAACAAUUCACAAUCUUUAAUUAGGGGUCUAACAUGGCAUAAAAUAAUAUUAUAAUCCCACAGGUUGUUUUUGGACAUCUGUGACAUCUAUUAAUGUUAAAUCUAGUCUUUCUUUAGCGACAUAAGCAAACUGUUUUUACAUUUAAUGAACAUUUCUGUUUUAUCCAUCCAUCCAUCUUCUUCUGGUUAUCCAGGGCUGGGUCAUGGGGAAAGCAGCCUAGGCAGAGAAGCCCAGGCCUCCCUCUCCUCAGCCACCUCCUCUAGCUUGUCCGGAGGAACACCAAGGCAUUCCCAAGCCAGCCAGCUGAGAGAUGUAAUCUCUCCAGCGUGUCCUGGGUCUGCUCCUGGCUCUACUCUGAGCCCCUCCCGUAUGGCCGAACGUCUCACCCUAUGUAAUGAUGACAUUUCAAUUAUGUGUUUUAAAAAGAGACCACCUAUUUCUUUGAGGCUCUGAAUCAGCACUCCACACAUCACAUCAAACUCUUACAAGUCUAGAAGAGCAGCUGUUGGACAGAAAGACAUCAGCUGAGUGGGAAGGAUUUUGACCUGAGAUGUGACUGCUCUGUGCUGUUGCUGAUGACUCCAGUUAAUCCUACAAGACAUGCUGUGACACCAGGAGAGAGGAGUCGUUCAUCACAGAAGGUGUGGUCAGUGAAGAUGGUCACCGGCAGGUCGAAGGUCAUUGCAUCUCCAGCCCACAUCCACUGACACUGUACUGAAGGGAUGUUAAGACUUUCUUCUGCACUUACACUCUAAAAACUAAAACUGAGAUUUACUUAAAAAUUUUGAAGCAAUUUCUUUAGAGGCGGAGAAGGCCUUUGACAGGGUCGAGUGGGAUUAUCUCUUCUCGACCCUGUCGAGGUUCGGAUUUGGCCCUAAAUUCAUUUCUCUGGUUAAACUACUAUACAUCCAACCAAAAGUGUCGGUACAAACAAACAAUGUCCACUCCGACUAUUUCGAUCUGAAUCGUUCAACAAGACAAGGCUGUCCUCUUUCACCUCUGCUUUUUGCAUUGGCUAUUGAACCUUUAGCUCUUCUACUGCGCUCAACAGACGAAUAUACAGGGAUCAGAAGGGGAAAAGCAGAACAUAAAGUCUCGCUUUAUGCAGAUGAUUUACUACUGUAUAUUUCUAACCCUGCAAAAUCAGUCCCAGUCAUCAUGGAAAUUUUGCAGAAUUUUGGAGAAGUGUCAGGAUACAAAUUGAAUUUAUCUAAAAGUGUGCUAUUCCCAGUCAACUCUAAAGCAAUAGGUAACCCAAGUUGUUUCAGUACCUUGCCAUUUUGGGUUUCUAAACAAUUCCAAUAUCUUGGAAUAAAUGUCACUCAGGAUUAUUGUGGUUUAUUUAAACACAAUCUCUCUAAACUAUAUGAUGAAACCAAAAAUAACAUAGACAAAUGGAUUAAUCUACCAAUUCCACUAGCAGGGAGGAUAAACAUUGUUAGAAUGAAUAUUCUUCCCAAAUUCUUAUUUUUAUUUCAGUGUAUCCCUAUUGUGAUUAAUAAAGCCUUUUUUAAUAAAUUAGACUCCUUAAUAUCCUAUUUCAUAUGGAACAGAAAGAAUCCAAGGAUCAAGAAAGGCUACCUGCAGAGACCGACAUGUCAGGGAGGGAUGGGGUUACCAUGCUUCCGUCUGUAUUAUUGGUCAUGUAAUGUUCGUUCCAUGUCGUUUUGGUUGCGCACUAAGGGGGCCGACUGGACAACGAUGGAGAAUGAAAGCUGUUACCCUCCUCAUUAGAAGCUAUGGUCUAUUCAGCCCUCCCUAUCCCUAAACAUGACUUUAAAAAUCCUGUAGUCUCUCAUACAAUUAAAAUCUGGACACAGAUAAGGAAACAUUUCGGGUGGAAGGAAGCUUCCAUACUAACUCCACUCAUGAAUAACGCAUCAUUCACACCAUCACUUUCAAACAUUUCAUUUCUCCAAUGGAACCACAAGGGGCUGCACUCAAUAAAGGAUUUAUUCAUCAACAAGGUUUUUCCCACAUUCCGGCAACUGCAAGAAAAAUUUGACUUGCACAGUAAUGACUUUUUCAAAUACUUACAGAUCAGAAGCUUUGUAAGGAGGCUUUUUCCAUCUUUUCCAGGUCGGCCCCCAGACUCUGCCUUAGAUAACUUAUUUCAGUUUGAUCCACUCAAGAAAGGACUAAUAACUUUGUCACAGCUGGAUGGAACUGUCACACUUGACUAUCUGAAAGAGGCCUGGCAGCGUGACCUUGGUACGAGAAUUACAGACAAUCAAUGGACAAAAGCCAAGGAAAAUGUACACUCUUCCUCUGUUUGCAUUCGUCAUGGACUCUUACAGUUUAAAGUGCUACAUAGACUCCAUUUAUCAAAGUUGAAACUGUCAAAAAUGUUCCCCGAUGUAAACUCAUCCUGCGAAAGAUGUAAACAGCAACCUGCUUCACUGGCGCAUAUGUUUUGGACUUGUCCCUGUAUAACAACAUAUUGGAAUAAUGUCUUUCAUAUCUUGUCUAAAAUUCUAAAAAAACCACUUAAGCCAGACCCAAUCUGUGCUUUAUUUGGAGUGAAGCCGGUUGUUGUAGACCUAUCAGCCACCCAAAAUAAUGUGAUACGUUUUGUGACGCUGCUGGCACGCCGUUUGAUUCUACUAAAUUGGAAACAAAGGGUGCCUCCUACCACAUCAGCGUUAAUACAAGAUGUAUUGAGACACUUGCAGCUGGAAAGAAUUAAAUUCCUACUAAAGGGGAGGUUGGAGGAAUUCCAUUCAACCUGGCAACCUUUUAUAGAUUUCUUCAAUACUGUACAGAUAUAAAUGGUCACUGAGCCUCAUUGGUAGUUCGAUAAAUAGCAUCCUCUGUCCAACGUUGUUUGUUGUUGCCUUUUUUUUUUUGUUGUUGUUGUUGUUGUUUUGUUUUUACUUUGUUUAAUUCCUAUUGUAUAUAUGCAAUCAUUUAUAUUUGAAUCUUAGUUGCCUUUAUGAUAAAGAACACUGGAAAACCAAAUAAAGAGAUUUGAGAAAAAAAAAAAAUUUUGAAGCAACACUUUUAAACUAAAGCUUAAACAUAUUAAGUUGAAAUGAAUAAUUGUAGUUGUUACACAAACAUGAAAAAAAUGGAGUAAAUAACACUGACAUGCUUGGUCAUGUAACUGAAAUAUAGAUGGUCAGUUAAUCCAAAAUGUUGUUCCAUUUACUUAAUAUUGUAAACUUAACAUAAUCAAAAUUGUAAUUAAUAUUAAAUAUGAUAAAUGACCUGUAUUUGUACAGCACUUUUCCUAGUCCCUAUGGACCCCAAAGCGCUUUACACUACAUUCAGUCAUCCACCCAUUCACACAGUGGUGAUGGCAGCUACAUUGCAGCCACAGCUGCCCUGGGGUGCAUUGACAGAGUAGGCCUGUUGGUGACCGAGACUGUCGGAGCUGGGGCUCGAACCUGCAACCUUCCGAUUACAAGAAGAACUGCCAACUCUUGAGCCACGAUCGCCGCCUAACAUUCAAAUAUGAAUGUUAUUGUAUUUCACUGGUAGUCUAAGUCUACAAAACCAAACAAACUAAUAUGUAGUUGAGUGUUUCAUAAUACAUGUAUGAAAAAUGACCACAUGUUAACAUUUUUCCAAAUGAAAAUGUAAUUUUCAUAAACAUGGAGAUAACUCGAAAUAAACAAG
ensembl:lncRNA